GCCCCAACCCAAAGAUUCUGUCUUGGGAAUGGGGCUUGAGCAUUGAGGUUGUAACAUCUCCCCAGAUUAAUCUUCGAUGCAACAGUGUUGAGAGCCACUGUCUUAGAUGUCACCUGCUACUGGGAUGCUGGGAAGCUCAUGAGAAGCCAGCAGUCCUCAAAGUCUAUUUCAGACAAGAGCUGCAGCCCUCCUAAAGCAAACCUGGACUGAAACCUGCUCACCUUUGCUCAGAUUCAGGGCAGCUCAUGUGUCAGAAGAAACGACAGUGCUGAAAGAGGAAACCGGGGCGAAGGGGAAGAUGGGAGCAGCACCCCCCCCAGUUGUCACAUGUUGUGCCCCUGUCAUGCUCCAGACACUGGUGUGAGCGCCUUACAUACAUCAACUUUAUCCAAUUCACCAUCCGCAUACUAGCACUAAGAGAAGCCUCUGCUGCUAUUACCCCCAUUUCACAGAUGGGAAGACUGGACUAGAUGAGCCACUUUCACAACCUGGUGGUGGCAGAGCUGGGAUUUGAAGACAGAUUGCUGGCUCUGGAGGCUACUGGUUUGACCACUAUGUCUGUUGCUUUGCAGGAUGACCUGGGAACCAUGUACACUGGGUCCCCUGUGGCCAAGGGUCCCUUCAUGGUGUUGAUGAGGCGUAGAGGUUGUCAGGCUGUGAUUUUAGCAGAGUCCUGAGCUCCGGUGGAGAUUUGCCUCUCUCCAGCCUUGGGCUAUCUGCAUUUUUGAAUAUCUCAGGGCCCAGAAGGAAAAGAAGAAUGUUGACCAGCUCUAGGAAUGGCCUGAAUGAAGAGAGAUACACAGCUUUCAAAGGAACCCACAUGCCGGCUUCUUGCAAACUGGCCUGCCAAGCAGCUGAUCCAGCCCCGCCAAGGCAGGAGGAGAAGGACAUUUGGUCCUGUGACAGCCGUGGACAGCUGGCUCAUCCUGGAUGCUGGUCUCCCUGUGCACCUCAUCCCUGGAAGGUGCUUUGGCCCCAGGCCUGGGCCUGACAGCAGGGCCUCGCUGAUGAGAGCAACAGCUCAGCCUGGCUCCACUUUUGAUGAGCAACCUCUCGCAGUGUCUUCCUCUUCUUUCUGGAGAUCACUGCAGUGCCUUCCCCCACCCCCCGCCCCUGAGGGCACCCCUUCCUGCCCCAGAGACUGUGACAUUUAGACCCAUGGUGUCCUAGCUCCCCCACUUUGUAGGUGUAGGUCCCUGACCCGUGUUCGGAAGCCAGAUCAGAUUUUGAUCCUGGCUGCAUUAUUGACUAGCAGUGGGAUGCUGGAUUAGCCUCUGUGCCUUGGUUUCCUCCUUUCCAAACUGGAAUGCUGACAGUAGGGUCUUUCUGUGGUAGACGGAACUAUCAGUCCCAGUUCUUCCCUCCCCCAUCAUCAAAUUAACACGUGCACACUGUGGCCGUGGCCUCCAGGUGGGCAGGUGCACUCCUCCCCGCGGUGACGUCCAUCUCGGCCACACGACUUGUUUUGGUCCAUGGGGUGUUAGCAGCGUAACGGGAGUGGAAGGCGCAAAUUGGACGAGGUUGGGCUUCUUUGCUUGCCUACCUUUCAUGGUGACAACAUGCCCUGGACAGCCUCCAGUCUGCAGAGGAGAAGAGACACGGAGCAGAUUCCGAAUUGACACCUCUGUGGAGCUGAGCUCGGACAUGCCCUCCUGGUACCAGCCGGCCCCUAGCUGAUGGCAGAGACGUGAGUGAGAGGUCCUGAUCUUCCCACAUACGAUGGAUUGCAGGGAAAAAGAAACUUCCUGGCCUGCCGGAUACCAACUUGAAGGAAGUAGCUGGCUUUGGUGGGGACAAGGAAACAGACCCCCAAUGACAGCAAUAGCCUCUCACCAGGCUUCUGCGUUAACGGAGGAGCUGCUGGGUGGCUGUGGGACACGUUGGAGGUGUCGGCUGCAUCACGAUUCCUGGCAGUGGUGGCCUCAGUCUGCAAACAGCCUGCCCAACACGUUGGAAACCUUCUCUUCUACAGAUCAGGCUAGAGAACGUAAUCCCAGGAGACCAGAAAACACUUGACAGAGGUAACACUGACCCAGAGAGAAUUGAAUCCUUGUGCCCAGUGACUAGAAGACCCAUGAACCUGGAAAAAGGAGCCUAGAAGAUCACCAUGUUUCCCCCACAUAGGAGAACACCCACCCCCUCCCGCCCCGUGCCCAUUACAGUGAUUUGGUCACUGCCGAGUUAUCUUCGUUUAAUGUGGUUUUGACAGAAUAGUUGGUCUGGAAAUUUUAUUUUCAAUUAAACUUCCUUGUUGAACUACUUUGGUUUUGAAAGGAUUCCAUUAGGAUGGAUAAUUAUAUAGCAGUUGCUACAAGGAGAUAUUUGCACUCAAUUUCCGCUCUUAGGUGAUUCAAAUCAAAGGCUUCUUCUUUUCCUCCCCAGAGUUGUGUGCAACCAUCUUCCUCAUACUAUAGGCUUCUCAUGAGUUAUUUUUGGAAAUCCAAAUCAAAACAGCCCUUUUGGCGGAGACCAUCUCUAGCCUAGCAGAGUAAGCCAUAUGUACCAGUAAACACAGCCAAAGAAUCGGUGCUUUUGAAAAGCACCAAAACCAUCUCCCUCUUUGUGGAUUAAAUUCUUGGGGACCAUAGACUAUCCUUUGUAUCAUCAUAUAUUCCUCUGUGAACUCUAAAGUCAAAGACAAUUGAAAUUCCUUUAAAAUUACCAAAGUUUUGGGGUGCCUGGGUGGCUCAGUCGAGCA